rnacentral:rRNA from 1 species
CCCUGCCAUUUGUACACACCGCCCGUCGCUACUACCGAUUGAAUGGUUUAGUGAGGCCUCGGGACUGGCGCCGAGCGGCGGUUUCGCCGUUCGGUACCGGGAACUUGGUCAAACUUGAUCAUUUAGAG